AUGGCCUCCACCGGCGAGCACACGGUGGCCCUGCUUGCCGGCCUUCCCGCCGAGGCGGCGGAGGCGUACACCACCGACGGGUCCCUUGAUUUCGACGGGAACCCGGCGCUCAAGAAUCGCACGGGUGGAUGGCGCGCGUGCCGCUCAAUUCUCGGCACCGAGUUCUGCUACUGCCUGGCCUUCCACGGCAUCUCCUUCAACCUCGUCACGUACCUCACGACCGUCCUGGGCCAGAGCAACGUCGCGGCGGCGAGGAACGUGUCCACCUGGCAGGCCACCUGCUUCCUCAUGCCUCUCGGCGGCGCCGUCGUCGCAGACUCCUACUGCGGAAGGUACCGCACCAUGGUCGUCUCCUGCUUCAUCGGCGUCGCAGGGAUGCUGAUGACAGCUCUCUCAGCGUACCUGCCGCUGCUCGUCAAGAACAUCGUGUCGUCCAACAUUGUGCCGUCUCAGGAAUUCGUCUUGUUUCUCGGCCUCUACAUGAUCGCCAUUGGCUUGGGCGGCCUCCGGCCGUGCCUCAUGUCCUUCGGCGCCGACCAGUUCGACGACGGCGAUCCGUCGGAGCGCGCCACCAAGGGCUCCUUCUUCAACUGGUACAUAUUCAACAUGAACUGCGCGUCGCUCAUAUCCAGCACGGCCAUCGUGUGGGUGCAGGAUCACUGCGGCUGGGCACUGGGCCUCACCAUCCCAGCGGUCGUCCUGGCCGCCGGCCUGUCUUGCCUGGUUGCGGCGUUGCGGACGUAUAGAUUUCAGCGUACCCGCGGCAGCCCGCUCAUCCGAGUGUGCCAGGUCGUCGUCGCUGCCGUGAGAAAGUGCGGCAUCGAGCUUCCGGCCGAUAGCUCUCUGCUCUACGGCAUGCUGGAGGACGGCCUCGCCGGAGUUCCGAGGAUCGAUCACACCACCGAUCUCCGAUUCUUCGACAAGGCCGCCAUUCUCGUGGCUUCGGACAAGGAGGUGGAGGCGGCAGCCGCGCCAGCGCGGACCAGCCCGUGGAGACUCUGCGUCGUCACGCAGGUCGAGGAGUUCAAGAUUCUCGUGAGGAUGCUGCCGCUCUGGGCGUCCGCCGUGUUCUUCUAUGCCGUGUCGGCGCAGGUCACGUCGACAUUCGUCGAGCAAGGCAUGGCGAUGGACGCCACCGUCGGCUCCGUGCGCGUCCCGCCGGCAUCCAUGUCCACCUUCGAUAUACUCACCAUCAUCCUCCUGGUCCCGCUCUACGACCGGGCUUUCGUUCCGGCUGCCAGGAGGCUCACCGGGAGGGAGAAAGGCAUCUCGGAGCUGCAGAGGAUCGGUGCCGGACUCGCCAUGCCCGUGCUCGCGAUGGCCUCUGCAGCGCUUCUAGAGACGGCGCGCCUCCGUGCUGCGCCAAACUCGACGAGCGUGCUAUGGCAGGCGCCGCAGUACGCGCUGAUGGGCGUGGGCGAGGUGCUCACCACCAUCGGGCAGCUCGACUUCUUCUACGGCCAAGCGCCGGCCGCGAUGAAGACCGUGUGCACGGCGCUCGGGCUCCUUGCAAUAGCGGCCGGCGGCUACCUUAGCUCGUUCCUACUGACGACCGUGCAAUGGGCGACGGCGACUGGCGGCGCGCCGGGGUGGAUCCCCGACGACCUGAACGAGGGUCACCUGGAUCGCUUCUUCUGGAUGAUGGCCGGACUUGGUUGCCUCAAUCUGAUAGCGUUCGGGAGCUGCGCCAGGAAGUACAAAUCCAGGAAGGGUUGA
rnacentral:rRNA from 1 species